CGGUCCAGACUCCUACGGGAGGCAGCAGUGGGGAAUAUUGCACAAUGGGGCGCAAGCCCAGUGAUGGCAGCGAACGCCGCGUGGGGGGAUGACGGCCUUCGGGUUGUAAACUCCCUUUCGGACAUGGGACGGAAAGCGUUAAGAGUGACGGUACCUGUAGAAGAAGCAACCGGCUAACUACGUGCCAGCAGCCGCGGUAA
rnacentral:rRNA from 1 species